GAAGGAGGACAUCCUUUACCAAAGACUAAAGCUAAACAUCCAGGUCCAGGUAGCUGCAGCAGCCGUAGGACCGUCUGUUGGUGCUCCGCAGCCACCUCCACCGCCUCCACCAGGUGUGGCUUGAAUUGUAUUUGGGAGUGUUCUGACAUCUUGGCUGUUUGUCUCCUGUUAAUUU